CUACUUACCUGGCAGGGGGAGAUACCAUUAUCAAAAAGGUGGUUUUCCCAGGGCGAGGCUUAUUCAUUGCACUACGGAGGUGCUGAACCCUGCAAUUUCCCCAAAUGUGGGAAACUUGACUGCAUAAUUUGUGGUAGUGGGGGACCGUGUUUGUGCUUUCCCCUG
rnacentral:snRNA from 1 species